UCAANUCUNAAGNCAGAUCUAUUGGCUAGCAUUGCUGGCUGUAGACUGAACAAAUACAGACAACUCUCAACAACGGAUAUCUUGGCUCCCGUAACGAUGAAGAACGCAGCGAAAUGCGAUACGUAGUGUGAAUUGCAGAAUUCCGUGAACCAUCGAAUCUUUGAACGCAAAUUGCGCUCGAGGCUUCGGCCAAGAGCAUGUCUGCCUCAGCGUCGGCUACUACCCUCAACUAAGUUUCCUANGACAGACUAGGGGAUGCCAGUUGGAUAUGGCCGUCCGGUUUGCCUUUCNGGNUGCCGGUCAGCUGAAAUAUAUUCACGCUCUGGGGGC
rnacentral:rRNA from 1 species